UGGACUUCCUUAGCUUUGGGGAUCUGUAUUUCCUUUUCGUCGUCCUCUUAAUUACUUGCCGAGUUGCGUGUUCAGCAAUUCACUGCUAUUUUGUUCCCAUUCUUCCUCUUCUAGAUGAUAUCCAUCUUUCUGAUCAAUUAAAGCUUCGAGGGAGAUUUUAGGUUUAGACCGCGACUCGAAGUAGGGCCCGAAGGAAUUGAAUGAUUUCCUGAAGGAUACUCAAAUGCCUUGAAGAGCUGGUAGAAACACCCAGACCUUGCUUUUAGGUCCCCAAUCUUCGCAUGGGAGUGUUCAGAAGAUCGAUUUCAAUACAAAGUCACAUCGUUCAUGCACUUAAUGCAAUGCAAGCUGGCUCUUCGAUUAAUUGAAUAUAAAGGAAAAUAUUGGAACGAGCUUUAAUGAGAUAAGUACCUCCAUUUUUUAAACCGUUGGAUUUUUCUGAACCAACAGAGUUGCCCAUCAAUUCUCCAUUGUUUCUCCUCUGUUGAACAAGAGAAAGAUUACACCAUUUUUUGUUUCCUAGUUGUGUUUAUUAUAUAUAUAUCUAUUUAAAAUUUGAUUUAUUGUUAACUGCUUUUGACUAGUUGAAUUUGUCAGUAGAAGGAAUGGUGCUCUUCAGUUA